GAUGAACGCUAGCGGCAGGCUUAACACAUGCAAGUCGAGGGGUAUAUGUCUUCGGAUAUAGAGACCGGCGCACGGGUGCGUAACGCGUAUGCAAUCUACCUUUUACAGGGGAAUAGCCCCAGAGAAAUUUGGAUUAAUGCCCCAUAGUAUAAUUGAAUGGCAUCAUUUAAUUAUUAAAGUCACAACGGUAAAAGAUGAGCAUGCGUCCCAUUAGUUAGUUGGUAAGGUAACGGCUUACCAAGACAAUGAUGGGUAGGGUCCUGAGAGGGAGAUCCCCCACACUGGUACUGAGACACGGACCAGACUCCUACGGGAGGCAGCAGUGAGGAAUAUUGGUCAAUGGGCGCAAGCCUGAACCAGCCAUGCCGCGUGCAGGAAGACGGUCCUAUGGAUUGUAAACUGCUUUUAUACA
rnacentral:rRNA from 1 species